GGUAUUUAGUGCUGUCAACUCCUGCCCAUCAUAAACCUCUACCGGAACGAAUGAGGAGACUGAGACCAAAUGAAUCAAUCGACUUACUAAAGAACACAUGGGCCCUGACCAGUUUGGCUCAGUGGAUAGAGCAUCAGCCUGCGGACUGAAGGGUCCCGGGUUUGAUUCUGGUCAAGGUUGCAGGCUCGAUCCUUGUGGGGCUUACCCCACAAUGCAUAGCAACUCCAGGAUGAGCAGGUUCACCACCAAAGAGCAGGAAGACACAGGAGGUGAAAAGCAGGACCAACGCCAGGUGGUGCCAGGCUGGCAGCUGGGUGUGCUCAGAGGGGCCCCUGGAGCUGGGGGACCCCCAUCUGAGGGCAGUGCGACUGUGGAGCAGCCAGACCUCAUGGCAGGGUCCAUUCCCUGUUAGCUCUAGCAAUAUGCUAAUUAAAUUCUAUCAAACCAAA